rnacentral:rRNA from 1 species
CUUUAGUAAUUGCGAAUGAACAAGGAUAUGCUUAGCUUGACAAAUGGAGCUAUUGGCUUUGAAUUGUAUUGUGGAAAUGUAUUACCAACAGAGGUGCAGGUGCCAGCCUAUUGAAAUAAAGCGUCAAUGAGGGUGAGAAUCCUGUUUGUCAUGUGCAGCCCUUUGUGCACGGUGUAUAUUUGCUGAGUCACACUCCUUGGCAUUGGAAUGCAAAGUGGGUGGUAAGUUUCAUGUAAAGGUAAACAUGCAAUUGAGACUGAUAGCACACAAGUACCAUGAGGGAAAUAUGAAAAGGACUUUGAAAAGAGAAUUAAAUGAGUUUGUAUUUGCUGAACACAAAGUAAACAGACUUGAUUUGCUUGGUGGGAGUGUUGCACUUGCUUGACAAGAGCUUUGGGCUGUGGGUGUAAUGAUUCUUUCUUUGCAUGCCAGUUUCUAUUUGUACAUCUGAUUACCUUUGCACAUGAAUGAUAAGUCUCCUGUGGGGGGUGGAUUGCAUGUGCAUGUAAUGAUUUGUGUUUUGAUAAAUGUGUCUGGUGUAUGUGUGUGUUCCUGUGCUUGGGGAUGCUUCCUUCCUUGGACUUACAAGCCCUGACACACACAUGCUGGCAAAAUGCUUCUGCUUGACCCGUCUUGAAACACGGACCAAGGAGUCUAACAGAUGUGCAAAGUUUGAAGGUGGUAUACCUUUGUGUGCAAUGAAAGUGUCAGCUGGGAUAUGUGCACCAGCACCCAAUUAAUUAGCGGACAGAGGUUUGAGUUGGAGCAUAUCUAUUAGGACCCGAAAGAUGGUGAACUAUGCCUGAACAGAAUGAAUUCAGAGGAAACUCUGAUGGAGGUUCGUAUCGAUACUGACGUGCAAAUCGUUCGUCAUAUUUGGGUAUAGGGGCGAAAGACUAAUCGAACCAUCUAGUAGCUGGUUCCCUCCGAAGUUUCCCUCAGGAUAGCUGGAGUUGCUCAGUUUUAUCAGGUAAAGCGAAUGAUUA